AGUGAACGCUGGCGGUAGGCCUAACACAUGCAAGUCGAACGGCAGCACAGUAAGAGCUUGCUCUUACGGGUGGCGAGUGGCGGACGGGUGAGGAAUACAUCGGAAUCUACUUUUUCGUGGGGGAUAACGUAGGGAAACUUACGCUAAUACCGCAUACGACCUACGGGUGAAAGCAGGGGAUCUUCGGACCUUGCGCGAUUGAAUGAGCCGAUGUCGGAUUAGCUAGUUGGCGGGGUAAAGGCCCACCAAGGCGACGAUCCGUAGCUGGUCUGAGAGGAUGAUCAGCCACACUGGAACUGGGACACGGUCCAGACUCCUACGGGAGGCAGCAGUGGGGAAUAUUGGACAAUGGGCACAAGCCUGAUCCAGCCAUACCGCGUGGGUGAAGAAGGCCUUCGGGUUGUAAAGCCCUUUUGUUGGGAAAGAAAAGCAGCAGGUUAAUACCCCGCUGUUCUGACGGUACCCAAAGAAUAAGCACCGGCUAACUUCGUG
rnacentral:rRNA from 1 species